rnacentral:rRNA from 1 species
AUGAACGCUAGCGACAGGCUUAACACAUGCAAGUCGAGGGGCAGCACAGGUAGCAAUACCGGGUGGCGACCGGCGCACGGGUGAGUAACGCGUAUGCAACUUACCUAUCAGAGGGGGAUAACCCGGCGAAAGUCGGACUAAUACCGCAUGAAGCAGGGGCCCCGCAUGGGGAUAUUUGCUAAAGAUUCAUCGCUGAUAGAUAGGCAUGCGUUCCAUUAGGCAGUUGGCGGGGUAACGGCCCACCAAACCGACGAUGGAUAGGGGUUCUGAGAGGAAGGUCCCCCACAUUGGUACUGAGACACGGACCAAACUCCUACGGGAGGCAGCAGUGAGGAAUAUUGGUCAAUGGGCGUAAGCCUGAACCAGCCAAGUCGCGUGAGGGAUGAAGGUUCUAUGGAUCGUAAACCUCUUUUAUAAGGGAAUAAAGUGCGGGACGUGUCCCGUUUUGUAUGUACCUUAUGAAUAAGGAUCGGCUAACUCCGUGCCAGCAGCCGCGGUAAUACGGAGGAUCCGAGCGUUAUCCGGAUUUAUUGGGUUUAAAGGGUGCGUAGGCGGCCUUUUAAGUCAGCGGUGAAAGUCUGUGGCUCAACCAUAGAAUUGCCGUUGAAACUGGGAGGCUUGAGUAUGUUUGAGGCAGGCGGAAUGCGUGGUGUAGCGGUGAAAUGCAUAGAUAUCACGCAGAACCCCGAUUGCGAAGGCAGCCUGCCAAGCCAUGACUGACGCUGAUGCACGAAAGCGUGGGGAUCAAACAGGAUUAGAUACCCUGGUAGUCCACGCAGUAAACGAUGAUCACUAGCUGUUUGCGAUACAGUGUAAGCGGCACAGCGAAAGCGUUAAGUGAUCCACCUGGGGAGUACGCCGGCAACGGUGAAACUCAAAGGAAUUGACGGGGGCCCGCACAAGCGGAGGAACAUGUGGUUUAAUUCGAUGAUACGCGAGGAACCUUACCCGGGUUUGAACGCAUUCGGACCGAGGUGGAAACACCUUUUCUAGCAAUAGCCGUUUGCGAGGUGCUGCAUGGUUGUCGUCAGCUCGUGCCGUGAGGUGUCGGCUUAAGUGCCAUAACGAGCGCAACCCUUGCCACUAGUUACUAACAGGUAAAGCUGAGGACUCUGGUGGGACUGCCAGCGUAAGCUGCGAGGAAGGCGGGGAUGACGUCAAAUCAGCACGGCCCUUACAUCCGGGGCGACACACGUGUUACAAUGGCGUGGACAAAGGGAAGCCACCUGGCGACAGGGAGCGAAUCCCCAAACCACGUCUCAGUUCGGAUCGGAGUCUGCAACCCGACUCCGUGAAGCUGGAUUCGCUAGUAAUCGCGCAUCAGCCAUGGCGCGGUGAAUACGUUCCCGGGCCUUGUACACACCGCCCGUCAAGCCAUGGGAGCCGGGGGUACCUGAAGUCCGUAACCGAAAGGAUCGGCCUAGGGUAAAACUGGUGACUGGGGCU